rnacentral:SRP_RNA from 1 species
UCGUGCUAGACGGGGGGGUAGCGGUACCCUAUAACCUGCAAUCCGCUUAGCAGGGUUGAAGUCUACUUUAGCCUAUUUCUUGUAAGGUCUGGCUUAAGUAAGUGGCGUUGACGAUUGGGUCUUACGCAACGAAGCGUUGUGAAUUCCGUCAGAUCCGGAAGGAAGCAGCGGUAAGCAAAUGUCUUCGUGUGCCGUAAGGUUGCCUGGUUCGAGCUAACUGCUUAAGUAACGCUUGGAAGAAAUUGGUGAGGGUAGAUGCACGA